AAGACUAUACUUCACAGGAUCAUUUCUGUAGUCAGUCUUCACUUACUUUCACACUUUCUGAAAGCAAGUCACACCCGCGUUGAUGAGAUGAAUCGUUUUAUUCGGCAGCGUGAGGAUUUGCGUGAUGCUCUUUGCGAUGUGAUUUUAUCACUCGUUUUGUGGGCGUGGCGCUUCGAUGAUCGCUCGGUAACACGAAUAGAACGAAUUCUGAGUGGU
rnacentral:snoRNA from 11 species